UUCGCAAUGCCCGAAAGGGUAACGAAGCGACGCCGCGUGUGGGAAGAAGGCCUUCGGGUUGUAAACCACUGUCGGGAGUUAAGAAAUACAAGGAUAUUAAUAGUGUCUUUGUUUGACUAAGGCUCCGGAGGAAGCCACGGCUAACUCUGUGCCAGCAGCCGCGGUAAUACAGAGGCGGCAAGCGUUGUUCGGAAUUAUUGGGCGUAAAGAGCACGUAGGCGGCUAUGUAAGUCGGUUGUGAAAGCCUUCCGCUCAACGGAAGAACAGCAUCCGAUACUACAUGGCUUGAGUGCGGGAGGGGAGAGUGGAACUUCUGGUGGAGCGGUGAAAUGCGUAGAUAUCAGAAGGAACGCCGGCGGCGAAAGCGGCUCUCUGGCCCAUAACUGACGCUGAGUGUGCGAAAGCUAGGGGAGCAAACGGGAUUAGAUACCCCGGUAGUCCUAGCCGUAAACGAUGGGCACUAAGUAGAGGGGUUUU
rnacentral:rRNA from 1 species